CGCAACACAGACCCAGCUCAUCAAUAUUUCAGGCCUCGAGCGCAGAGGUUCCAUGUUGUAGUAGUAGAUGAGGGACCUAUUCGUGUUUUUGCUCCAUUGAGACAUGGGGGCAGUGAGCCGGGAGAACAUGGCAGUGCGAGUGGGGGUGCUGAUCACUCACAGUGCAGAUGGCGGCCGUAAUGAGAGACUGGCGAUACGGGAGGAGCGCAGCGGCGUGGAUUACUCGGGCGAGGAAGACGGCGACGCCGCCGCGGUGAGAACACUUACGCGCGAACGCGCGACGCGUGAAAGUCA